rnacentral:ncRNA from 1 species
AUAAAUACAGUGAGUAGACAUAGUAACAAAUGAUUAAAAUAUAGAGAGUCUUUGGUUGGUGGAAAAAGAUUUGGCGUCAUUUGUGAAUACAGCUAUGAGUAGAAUGUUGAAUUGAGUAGGCAUCUCCGGUGAUCACCGUUACAUGAUGAGAGUAUGAUUGUACUUGAUGAGGCUUAAAGGGUGACCUUUAGGUGAAAAAAGGUGGUACCACGGGAAUAGAGCUCGUCCUUUAU